rnacentral:lncRNA from 1 species
GGCCUCAGAUCCCCUGUGGGGCUUUCCCUUGGCGUUGCCCUUGCUGGAGCCGGGGCACCGUUCCUGGAGCGUGUCGGUGGACGUUGUCCUGGGGAUCAUCCAGUUCAGCCUUCCUGUUUCUUGUGAAAGGGGUCAAGGCUCUAAACAGAACAGGAGCUGUCCCUAGAUCGCCUCCUCAGGAGUGACAGCAUCUGAAUUAGAAAAGGGAACAUGUGACUUCAGGUGUGGUGCUUUUCCACCGGUGUGAUGGUGUGGUUUUGCUGUUCUUGCGUGUUGUUGGUCUCUAUUUUGUUUUGUGGGUUUUUGUUGCCUCCUGAGCUGUCUAUUUCUUUGUAUAAUUUCGUAGCAGGUGACUCUUCCUUUCAGAGACCAUAUGCCAGGUCAGCCACUUCAGAAGCAGACUAUGAGCUGGUUUGCUAGAAUUCCCCUAGCUAUGCCCAGCUUGUUUCCACCUCAGGGCCUUUGCACUGGUUUCUGUCUUUGUUGAUUCCCUUGUUGUUUUUCUUCUGUUCUUAAG